UGGGGAAUCUUGCACAAUGGGCGAAAGCCUGAUGCAGCAACGCCGCGUGCGGGAAGAAGGCCCUAGGGUUGUAAACCGCUUUCAGUAGGGAAGAAAAUGACGGUACCUACAGAAGAAGGUGCGGCCAACUACGUGCCAGCAGCCGCGGUGACACGUAGGCACCAAGCGUUAUCCGGAUUUAUUGGGCGUAAAGAGCUCGUAGGCGGUUCGGUAAGUCGGGUGUGAAAACUCUGGGCUCAACCCAGAGAGGCCACCCGAUACUGCUGUGACUAGAGUGCGGUAGGGGAGCGGGGAAUUCCUGGUGUAGCGGUGAAAUGCGCAGAUAUCAGGAGGAACACCGGCGGCGAAGGCGCCGCUCUGGGCCGUAACUGACGCUGAGGAGCGAAAGCAUGGGUAGCAAACAGGAUUAGAUACCCUGGUAGUCCAUGCCGUAAACGUUGGGCACUAGGUGUGGGUCUCAACCAACGAGAUCCGCGCCGUCGCUAACGCAUUAAGUG
rnacentral:rRNA from 1 species